ACAUGGUAAAAAGGGAGGCCCAUUGCUUUGGACAGUUGCAAUCUUUGGUUUUGAACAUCACUUGUUUGACAAAAAUGGCCAAAGAAGAACUUCACCAACAGCUACUUCUCCAACUGGGUCUCCUUCUCUGUCUCUCUCCCUUAACCCCACUUUCUUCCUCCUUUAUUCUUUCUCUUCAUCUUCACGCUCUGGUUUUCGUUGUUUUCUCUUUGGCAUGGACAAGCUCCACCAGCAACAACAGCAGCAGCAACUCUCCUUGGCUAAGUGUUCCAGGCAGCGAUGCAAUGAAUGGAUUUUUCGGGAUGUCCCUAGUGAUAUCACAAUAGAAGUGAGUGGAGGGACAUUCGCAUUGCAUAAGUUCCCUCUUGUCUCUCGCAGUGGACGAAUCAGAAAGUUGGUUGCAGAACAUAGAGAUGCUGAUAUCUCAAGGGUGGAGCUUCUUAACCUACCAGGAGGAGCAGAGUCAUUUGAAUUGGCUGCAAAAUUCUGUUAUGGCAUUAACUUUGAAAUUACGUCUGCAAACGUUGCUCAGCUGUGUUGUGUUUCUGAUUACCUUGAAAUGACAGAAGAGUUUUCAAAAGACAAUCUUGGUUCUCGUGCUGAAGAAUAUCUAGAGAGUAUUGUUUGCAAGAACCUUGAAAUGUGCGUUGAAGUUUUGCAACAAUGUGAGAAUCUACUUCCUCUUGCUGAUGAGCUGAAAAUAGUUAGCCGUUGCAUAGAUGCAAUAGCUUCAAAGGCUUGUGCUGAGCAAAUUGCCUCAAGCUUCUCACGAUUGGAGUAUAGCAGUUCAGGGAGACUUCACAUGAACAAGCAAGCCAAGUGUGAGGGGGACUGGUGGAUAGAAGAUCUUUCUGUUCUCUGGAUUGACCUGUACCAAAGAGUAAUGACAGCUAUGAAAUGCCGUGGGGUCCGUCCUGAGAGUAUUGGAGCAUCACUUGUGAACUAUGCUCAGAAGGAAUUGACAAAGAAAUGUAGUUUAUGGAAUCCUUCUAGCCAGACAAAGGUUGAUCUGAUUUCAACGGGGCAUGAAAGACUUGUGGUUGAGACAAUUGUCAACCUUUUGCCUGUUGAGAAACUUGCAGUUCCAAUCAGUUUUCUUUUUGGUCUUUUGCGAAGUGCUGUCAUGCUUGAUUGUACAAUUGCUUGUAGACUUGAUCUAGAGAGGCGAAUUGGUUCCCAGUUGGAUAUUGCAAUUCUUGAUGAUCUUCUGAUUCCAUCCUUCCGACAUGCAGGUGAUACCUUGUUUGAUGUUGACACAGUUCAUAGGAUCUUGGUAAACUUCUCACAGCAAGAUGACAGUGAAGAUGAUAUGGAAGAUGCUUCUGUUUUUGAAUCUGAUAGUCCUCAUUCACCAUCUCAAACUGCAUUGUUUAAGGUGGCAAAAUUAGUAGACAACUACCUAGCAGAAAUUGCUCCUGAUGCAAACCUCAAGCUUUCCAAGUUCAUGGUGAUCGCAGAGACUUUACCAUCACAUGCACGUACCAUACAUGAUGGUCUAUAUCGAGCAAUUGAUAUUUACCUUAAAGCUCAUCAGGGUUUACCAGAUUCUGACAGGAAGAAGCUCUGCAAACUUAUUGAUUUUCAGAAGCUCUCACAAGAAGCUGGUGCUCAUGCUGCACAAAAUGAACGCCUGCCCCUCCAAGCUAUCGUUCAAGUGCUUUAUUUUGAGCAAAUAAGACUCAGAAAUGCAUUGUGCUGCUCUUAUGGUGAUGAAGACCACAAACCAAUGCACCAGUCAUGGAGGAUCAGCAGUGGUGCACUCAGUGCAGCAAUGUCUCCACGAGACAACUAUGCAUCACUUAGGCGAGAAAACCGAGAGUUGAAACUUGAGUUAGCUCGAUUACGGAUGAGAUUAAAUGAUCUGGAGAAAGAACAUGUUUGUAUGAAGAGAGAUAUGCAAAAGUCUCAUUCUCGAAAAUUCAUGAGUUCUUUCUCCAAGAAAAUUGGUAAGCUGAGCUUCUUUGGGCAUAGUUCUUCUAGGGGAUCAAGCUCUCCCUCAAGGCAUUCUCAUAGAACUGAUUCUAGAGUGAUUGAGAGAACAUGUGCCAGCACUGAUUAGGUAAUUCAAGUUACCCAGAUUCUUUUUACUGUAUUUGUUGAGCAACUGCGAGCCAUGCUCGUGUUGACCUUUUCACUUGAAUUUUAUAAACGUUCCUUCGGCCACCUUGUAUAUGAUUUAUGAUGUUUUGGUUAGGAAGGUAAGAGGUUCUUUUUUGCAAGUCAUGGUUUUUGGAGAGUAAACUUUGAUAUAAUUUGAAAUGCUAUAUGUAAGAAUUUGUUUGAAAUGCUGUAUAUAUGAAAGAAUUUUUAGCAUAACUUAGUAGAAUACGCUUACAAAUUAUAGAUAUCCUUUCUGAGUUAUUAUCU
rnacentral:misc_RNA from 1 species